rnacentral:rRNA from 1 species
ACGCACGCUGGCGGCGUGCCUCAUCCAUGCAAGUCGCGCGGACUGAUUAAGAGCUUGCUCUUAUGACGUUAGCGGCGGACGGGUGAGUAACACGUGGGCAACCUGCCCUGUAGAUCGGGAUAACACCGAGAAAUCGGUGCUAAUACCGGGUAAUAUCUGAGAUCACAUGAUCUUAGGUUAAAAGAUGGCUCCGGCUAUCACUACAGGAUGGGCCCGCGGCGCAUUAGCUAGUUGGUAAGGUAAUGGCUUACCAAGGCGACGAUGCGUAGCCGACCUGAGAGGGUGAUCGGCCACACUGGGACUGAGACACGGCCCAGACUCCUACGGGAGGCAGCAGUAGGGAAUCUUCCGCAAUGGACGAAAGUCUGACGGAGCAACGCCGCGUGAGUGAUGAAGGGUUUCGGCGCGUAAAGCUCUGUUGUUAGGGAAGAAACAGUACCGAACGAACUAGGUCGGUACCUUGACGGUACCUAACCAGAAAGCCACGGCUAACUACGUG